AAUUAAUAAAUUCACCAUACACUCAUCUUCAUAAAACCCCUCUAAGAUUUCACCUUGCUUUGUUGAUAUUUUUAAUUUUAUUCUUUUUUCCCCUUAGAACAAACUGUUAAUUGGCACACAGAGAGAGAGAGAGAGAGAGAGAGAGAGAGUCCUCUCUUGUAUCACCUAUGCUAUUAUGCUGGCCGGGGAUUCAAGUAGCAGUGUGUUAGGGAGCUCUGCAGAUGCUGUGGCAUCUGUAGCAACAACAAGUGCUCAUGAUGUUUCUGCUGCUGCUGCUGCUGCUGAGGUUGGUGGUGGGCUUGGUGGAUCAACUUCAGGUGAAGAUGACAAGGGUAAAGGUGACGAGCUCGGCGACCGCUCUUUUGGCGGAAACCGGUGGCCUCGUCAAGAAACUUUGGCUCUCUUGAAGAUAAGGUCAGACAUGGACGUGGCUUUUAAGGAUGCAAGUGUUAAGGGUCCAUUGUGGGAAGAUGUUUCCAGGAAGCUGGCAGAACUUGGUUAUAAUCGAAGCGCCAAGAAAUGCAAGGAGAAAUUCGAGAACGUGUACAAGUACCACAAAAGAACCAAAGAAGGUCGCACAGGGAAAGCCGAUGGAAAAACAUAUCGAUUUUUUGACCAAUUAGAAGCUUUCGAACAUCAUCCUCAAAUUCAAUCACCUACACCUCCGAAGCCUCCAACUCCAACAACAACAUUGGCAAUGCCACAAUUUUCCCACCUCCACCUCCACCACUACCACAACCAGCAGCAACAAUAACAACAAAACCUUCACAACCCACAAUUCCGUCCUUCCAAAACAUUUCGGCAGAUCUUAUUUCCAAUUCCACCGAGUCUUCCUCGACUUCCUCGGACGAACAAUUGGAAGACCGGCGUAAGAAAAAGAGGAAGUGGAAGGACUUCUUCGAGAGACUAAUGAAGGAAGUCAUAGAAAAACAAGAAGAGUUACAAAAGAGGUUCUGCGAUGCCAUUGAGAAAAGAGAACGCGACCGAAUGGUUCGAGAAGAAGCUUGGAGAGCGCAGGAAAUGAAAAGAAUCAAUAGAGAGCGGGAAAUAUUAGACCAAGAAAGAUCCAUAGCAGCUGCUAAAGAUUCAGCAGUAAUGGCUUUUUUACAAAAGAUAUCCGAACAGCAAAAUCCGGGUCAACAACCUCAAAACAAUCUGCCACCGCCACAGCCAACCGCGACUCAGCCUCAGCCUCAGUCAUUGCCACUGCCGCAGCCAGUGGCACCAGCUCCAUCUACCGCGGCGCCACAGACAAUUGUGACAAGUUUGGAAAUUCACAAGAAUGAUAAUGGGGAGAACUUCACGCCAACAAGCUCUUCGAGAUGGCCUAAAGUGGAGGUUCAAGCUUUGAUCAAGCUAAGGACCAGUCUUGAUGCUAAGUAUCAAGAAAAUGGGCCAAAAGGACCUCUAUGGGAAGAGAUUUCGGCCGCAAUGAGAAAGCUUGGAUACAAUCGAAGCUCAAAGAGAUGCAAAGAAAAAUGGGAGAACAUUAAUAAGUACUUCAAGAAGGUCAAGGAAAGCAAUAAGAAAAGGCCUGAGGAUGCAAAGACUUGCCCAUAUUUUCACCAACUUGAUGCUCUAUACAGAGAGAAGAACAAGUAUGAAAUUAGCCCUUCAAGUCAAGUGAAGCCCGAAAACAGUAAUAUGGUGCCAUUGAUGGUACGGCCUGAGCAGCAAUGGCCUCCUCAGCAAUCCGACGCCGUCAUGGAAGAUGUGGAAAGCGAGCCAAUGGAUCAAAAUCAAGAGGAGGAUGAUGAUGAUGAGGAUGGAGAGGAUGAAGAGGAAGAUGAGGGUGGUGGUCAUUAUGAGAUAGUGGCUAGUAAACCUUCUUCAAUGGGUGCAGCUAGCUAGCUGAGGCUCGCUUGAAAGAGACAUCAUGACCAAGACUAAGAAAAAGUCCUUUUUCUAAUGAAUGUGGAUCAGGUCAGGUCAGGUCGGGUCGGGUCAGGUCAGAUCGCAUGGGACAGCCGGUGGGAAGUGGGUCGGAUUCCGGCGCGUGGUGGUGGUGAAUUUGGAGAGGAAGAACUUCAAGAAAAAAAAAAAAAAUUAUAUACGGCAAAAACACAUGGGGGAGGGGGUUGUAGCAUAUAGUCAGUGGGAUUAUAUGUUUUUAUUUUAUAGAUUAUUUAUUUUUUUGGUUAAAUAAAUAAGUUAAGAGAGAGAGAGAGAGAGAGAGAGAGAGAGAAAAAGAGGGUUGUUCAGGUUCCACAGAAUAAAAUAAAAGAGACUUAAUGUUGUAUUUUUGUUUAUGUUUCAUCAUUCAUGGUGGUGUAAGUGUGAGAAAUGGUUAUUUACUUA